UACAGAGGUCUCAAGCGUUGUUCGGAUUCAUUGGGCGUAAAGGGUGCGUAGGCGGCGCGGUAAGUCGGGUGUGAAAUCUCGGAGCUUAACUCCGAAACUGCAUUCGAUACUGCCGUGCUUGAGGACUGGAGAGGAGACUGGAAUUUACGGUGUAGCGGUGAAAUGCGUAGAUAUCAGGAGGAACACCUGUGGUGUAGACGGCUUUCUGGACCAUCACUGACGCUGAGACACGAAAGCGUGGGGAGCAAACAGG
rnacentral:rRNA from 1 species